GCUCGGUUAGCUGAGGGGUUUAGCACCACCUUUACACGAUGGAGACGGGGGUUCGAUUCCCUCACCUUGCACCA
rnacentral:tRNA from 1 species